CGGCAGCGGCAGAUGUGUAUAAGAGACAGGUGAGUCAUCGAAUCUUUGAACGCACAUUGCGCCCUGUGGUAUUCCGCAGGGCAUGCCUGUUCGAGCGUCAUUUCAACCCUCAAGCUCUGCUUGGUGUUGGGCCCUGCCCCCGCGGCCGGCCCUAAAGACAGUGGCGGCGCCGUCUGGCUCUAAGCGUAGUACAUCUCUCGCUCUAGCGCCCGGCGGUGGCCUGCCAGAACCCCAACUCUGUGGUUGACCUCGGAUCAGGUAGGGAUACCCGCUGAACUUAAGCAUAUCAAUAAGCGGAGG
rnacentral:misc_RNA from 1 species